rnacentral:lncRNA from 1 species
UGGUAAAUGAUUAUUGUUAUUGUUGUACAAGCCCAAAUACGCCCGAGCCCAAAUAAUUAUACAACAGGCCCAAAAUCCAACUAAACCUAGCCCACAAAAAAAAUAGCAGAAACUCUAAGGGCUUCUCUGCUGUCGCCGCAAGCCCCAACAACCCCACGUUGCACCCAACGCUUCCAGCAGGAGGCCAAUCGCCGCAAGACUUGGAGACCGACUCCCCACGCGCGCCGUGCUCUCCGGAACACACCUCCAAAAAAAAACGGACUCAAGGAGUCCAAAGAAAAACAAACAGCAAGCAAUAUCUUUCCUUCUUUUUCGAUUUAUUUUCUUUCUCUUUUGCGGCCUAUAAAAGGCCAUUUUGUAAUCUGUAAAGGGGGGGAAGAGAUACAAAGAGAUCAUUUGGAAUACAAAAGGUUUUUUUCAUUUUCUGAGCAUUUUGAGUUUCGUUUUGUUUUUUUUUUCCCUUUUAGCCUCUUUUAUUAUUUUAUUUUCAUUGAAAAUAAAAAGAAAGAAGGAAGAAAUUUAACUGGUUGCCGGAGUCGACGGGCCGGCGUCUUUUCCGUCGACGGAGGCCAUGGGCAUCAACUGAAUGGCAGCAUUGAAGGGUUGAUAAAACCUUAAAAGAAGCAGACUUUGCUUCAGGGAAAAAGAAAGUCUCCCUAGCUCUCUUUUUUUUUAAAAAAAAAAAAACUUAAAACAGAGCAAAGCAAGGAUGGCGCUGUUUAUUUGGGGGUUCACGCAUUUCAACCUUAGAUGGGAUAAUUUCACAAUAAGUCCUUUCCCAUUUGCGCCAUGUUUUAUUAAGCCAGUUAUCUCUUUUUAAAUUCG